GAUGAACGCUGGCGGCGUGCCUAAUACAUGCAAGUCGAGCGAACAGACGAGGAGCUUGCUCCUCUGACGUUAGCGGCGGACGGGUGUGUAACACGUGGAUAACCUACCUAUAAGACUGGGAUAACUUCGGGAAACCGGAGAUAAUACCGGAUAAUAUAUUGAACCGCAUGGUUCAUUAGUGAAAGACGGUUUUGCUGUCACUUAUAGAUGGAUCCGCGCCGCUUUGGCUAGUUGGUAAGGUAACGGCUUACCAAGGCAAGGAUGCGUAGCCGACCUGAGAGGUGGAUCGGCCACACUGGAACGUGGACACGCUCCAGACGCCUACGGGAGGCAGCAGUAGGGAAUCUUCCGCAAUGGGCGAAAGCUUUACGGAGCAACGCCGCGUGAGUGAUGAAGGUCUUCGGAUCGUAAAACUCUGUUAUUAGGGAAGAACAAAUGUGUAAGUAACUAUGCACGUCUUGACGGUACCUAAUCAGAAAGCCACGGCUAACUACGUG
rnacentral:rRNA from 1 species